UAUUAGAUGACUGAGUAAAAGUUUUGGUCUCUUAAACCAAUAUAUAGUAUUAAAUUACUUCUAGUGA
rnacentral:tRNA from 1 species